CACAAGCAGCGGAGCGUGUGGUUUAAUUCGAUGUUACACGAAGAACCUUACCAGGGUUUGACAUGCAAGUGGUAGGAAGCCGAAAGGUGACCGACCCUUCGGGGAGCUUGCACAGGUGCUGCAUGGCUGUCGUCAGCUCGUGUCGUGAGAUGUUCGGUUAAGUCCGCUAACGAGCGCAACCCUCGCUGUGUGUUAUAUGUGUCACACGGGACUGCCGGUCUUAAGCCGGAGGAAGGUGGGAUGAUGUCAAGUCAGCAUGGCCUUUAUAUCCUGGGCUACACACACGCUACAAUGGCCAACACAAUAGGUUGCUAAGCCGCGAGGUGGCGCCAAUCCAUAAAGCUGGUCUCAGUUCAGAUUGUAGGCUGCAACCCGCCUGCAUGAAGAUGGAGUUGCUAGUAACCGCAGGUCAGCUAUACUGCGGUGAAUACGUUCCCGGGGCUU
rnacentral:rRNA from 1 species